rnacentral:rRNA from 1 species
AGAGUUUGAUUCUGGCUCAGGACGAACGCUGGCGGCGUGCUUAACACAUGCAAGUCGAACGAUGAAGCCUGUAACUUGUUGUGGGUGGAUUAGUGGCGAACGGGUGAGUAAUACGUGAGUAACCUGCCCUCCUUUUUGGGAUAAGCCUUGGAAACGGGGUCUAAUACCGGAUAUUCUGGCAUGCUCGCAUGGGUGUGUUGGGAAAGCUUUAUGUGAAGGGGGAUGGGCUCGCGGCCUAUCAGCUUGUUGGUGGGGUGAUGGCCUACCAAGGCGGUGACGGGUAGCCGGCCUGAGAGGGUGACCGGCCACAUUGGGACUGAGAUACGGCCCAG